CAGGCAGCAUUCCCCUCCUGUCCCCACCUGCACAAAACCAGCUCAUACGAUGAGCCUUUAAAAGUGUGUCUGCUUGUGCAGGAGGGAUAGAGGUGACAAGUUAAAGCUUGUUGCUGUGACUGCAGAGCAUGCAGUGUCAAUAUUAACCUGCCCAGAGAAAAGACAUUCGGCCAGACUUCCCAGGAAACAUCUGCUCCUGAGUGGUCUGACUGCACCUCAACUGCCUGUUGCUUCAGAUGCAAAGAUGUCUCCUGCUGCUGCUUAUUAAAGAGGAAAAAAGAGAAAUGGAUGCUUGGGGUAUUUGAAAGGAAUUUUGAAAGACAGAAGAGAGAACAACUGCAUAGAAAUUCAGUUUAAUUUGCAGCACAGACUCUGAUGCAGAAAACUCGAAGAUUAGAGAUCCUGUUUGCCCCACACAAAUGUAAUGUGCACAGUAGCACUAAGUACAAUGAAGGUGUGAAUGAGCAGCCAGGAGCAGAGAUGGCCUAAGAUGACUUAAGCAGAACUACUGCUGAAGAUGUAACCACAGGCUCAAAGUUCAUGCUACUUCUGGUAACCAAUUCAAUUUCAGAGGCUUAUGUCCCUCCUUGUGUGAUAGCUAUGGGAAGGAAGGCCUAAUACAGCUUACUUUAAAGAUAUUGUAUACCUUAAAGAUACUGUAUACCUCAAACUUGUCAGGUUUAUGACUCUGGUUUACAUGACACGCUCGUAAGGAAGUGAGGGAAUCUAAAUGGGUCCUUCCAGACAAUGACAAACUAAUUGGAAGAAGAAAGUCAUCGAUGAUCCUUUACUACAGUAGCACACUUAGUUGAGAAGGGCCCUGCAGGGGCUCUUGAGGGUUUGGUUUCAUUCAAAAUUUACAUGAGCUGGAUGAUGCUUUUAAAAUUUUAAGUUUUGAAGAUGGGAGCCAAGCCAAUCCUGCUGAGGAAUGACUAAAACUUGAAGUAAUCUAGAUGAAACAGUCUUGAGAAAUGGGACACAGUUCAGUAGGGAUAAGCGUAAAGGUGGACGACUUGGGCAGAAAGCAGUACAAAUGUGGGUUAGAGAAUAAUACAGGUAGCUGUUCAGCAGAAAAGAAUCUGUCACUGUUGUGGCCCAGCAGCUGAACAGCAAUCAACAGUGCCAUGUGACUGCAAGGAGAAAAAGCAGGUGCUGUAGAGGGGUGUAAAAAGACACAAGUUGCACAAAAUGAGCCUUCUCGUCUCACCUUCAUCACGAAUUCCAGUUUUGGAUGCCGGUAUAAAUAAACUGCAGAGAAGAGCUAAAACAGAGCUUUAAGGGAAGAAAAAAAUGCAUAUCCGCAUGGAAAGACUGAAAUAGGCUUUCUUAACCUACAUUAGGGAAGAAUGAGAGAGGAAAUCAUAGUUCUAAAGUAUAUACCAAGUAGCUGCAAAGAGGAAGGGAUCCAUCUGAUAACUUCCUGUCCAAAUAUCAGGGACACAGUUAACAGGCAUAAACUAGCACAAGAAAGGCUUAAAUUCAUUUUUUUAAUAGUAAAGAUAGAUGGUAAAGCACUGCUAUAAAUUGCCUGGGGAGGUUGUAAAAGACCUCCAGUGAUGAAAAUCGUAAUAGCAGUUAGAUAAACAUCGGACAGGAAUGACGUCUUACCUCAGGGCGGGGGAAUGCCCUGGAUGACCUUUCAAAGUCUUUUGCAGGCUAGUUUUUCUAUUAUUCCAUAAUCAAUUGCCCAAACCUUUUGAGGAAUAGUGUUACGGCACGGCUGAACUCCAGAACCGAUACUGCUUCACAAAUAUCUUGAUCAAGGCACAGGCUGUUACUGUACACAAGUUAUAAGAGAUCUCCCUUGUGCGUGCUGAAUCACUGGCCACAUCCAGAAGCUGCACUCAUUGACACUGUGUUUUCAGUUGACAUAAGCAUUGAUGUUGCAUGCAGGCAAUUAGAGAACAAAUGUGUUAAUAGAAUGUUUUCUUUCUAGACCCAAGGGAUCCAAAAUGAGCUUGUUACUUUUUAAAGUGCUUAUAAAAGUAUCAUUUGCCUUUAGGAGCGAAGCUUAGAAAAAGAUCUGUAUCCAAAAAUACUUAUUUAUUUUGUCAUUAACUUGUUACCAUUUUAUAAAGCUCAUAAUAUCUCUAGCCAGUGGUGACCCUAUUUAAAUUUGGGAUGGGGUAGGAGGUGCUGAAUUGUCCAAGAAUUGCCACAGAUAUUUGAUUCUUGAUCUGGGCCAAACUUAUUUAAUUUUCAAGAGUGUCUGACAGCUGUGAUUUCAUUCUGUAUACAUUUUACCUUUGCUAAGAACAUUUUUGUGGCAGUUAUCUAGGAUGGAAAGGAAAAGACAGAACUGGAGAAUCCCAAAGGAUGCACUCAAAUGGACUUUAGGCAUCUGAACCUGUCACAAACCAGGCUGGAUACCUUGAGGUUCUGCAAUAUUGCCUACUUCUUCCAUCUAUACAGAACAAAGUUGCCUAGCUAUAGCUCCUGCAGUAAAUGUCUGUCACUUAUUUGGGCCAUGAUUUAUAUUUAGAGUAGACGUAGGUUUGCCAUGCCAAACUGUGAGAUGGCAUAAAUCCAUCUGAACAAUUCCCUAUGGUACUCCAAGUCAUAAAUGGGUCAAGUGCUGAAAAGAAGAGGGUUUGUAUUGAAAGCUGGCAUUUGUGGUGGUACAUGUGCUGUGAGAGGCAGUUUGCUGGAGUAUAUGGAGUCUGGCUUCUUCAUGGACUUUCUCCUAUUGUAGGAAAAAUGAAGGAUUUUACUCUUCUUAGACACACUGUAUCUUUUCUCCCCUUGCUUUUAUCUGAGGCUCUUAUGUUUAGAGGACACACAAAAACUGUAUAGGCCAACAAGAAAAAAGUUAAUAGUUUAGUGUGUACAUCCAUAGUGAACAGCUCACAAGCCGCACAUCACUAUGGAUCCACCUUGUCUUACACUGGAAACUACAGUGAAUUGAGGCAGGUUUGUGCAAACCUAAUGCUCAUUUAUCAUGUGGCAGCCUUGAUGCUGGACAAGCUACAGUAUUAAACAAACACAGAGUAUUUUCUGAGUCAAUGUCAAAACUUAGCUAGUUUAAUGAGUUUGGAUGAACAAACAAAUCCAUCUUUUAGAGCUGGCAGAACAGGCACUGCAUAGGAAGUUGUUUGUGCUGAUGCUGUUGAAAUGGCAAAGAUGCCUGAUAUGCCUGGUGCAAGAGUCUGAAACUGUUACAUGAGAAAGCUGCUAUCACUAGACUUCCAAGAAAAAGACAGUUACCACGCUGACUUUGAGAUGAGCCUGUUCUUCUGAUGAUAGCUGCAGGAAACCAAGAUGUGGCUUUUCUCCUCGAUUCGAAUAGGCUCCUGAACACUGAGUUGGAGUUUGUAUGCCCCUCUCUGUUUCAAAUUGAGGAAAAGAAUUUUCUGUAGCAGAAAACUGCAUGUUUGAGUCCUAGUAGUGUAGGAGCUUCCACAAAACAGGCUGCGCGCCUAAUACAGUCUGAAACCAUGUGUUGUCUCCUACCUUGCAUUGACCAAAAGCACAGUGGGUGCAACACUGGUGAUGAGAAAUGGUCCUUGCAAAUAGUUACAAACUAGCAUUGCGUCUUCCUCCCCCCCAAGCUGUUAGUAGAGUUAAUGAUUUUCUUCUAAAGGACAGUAACGGUUACAAGGACCAGACCCUUAGCUAGCAUAAGCAGCUGUGAAGCUUAAACCAGCAGAAGAAGUGAGCCUUGCAAUAAGGUGUGGUAUUUUUUCUACAGCAGAUAUUAAGAUUUGCUGUUGAGCAGAACUCCCAUGGAGCGCAGCAAGGGGCUGUGAUUCAGGGAUGACCCAAUGAGCAGCAUAUUCCUUAUGUGACUAAAGAGGCAAGACAUGUGCCAUCAUUAGAGAAGGAGGUGCAGCUGAGAAGUGGGAGAUGGCAAGGUCCUAAGCUUCUGCAGAGUGGGCUUCGCUGUAGCUGAGUCCUGGCAUGAUGCAGCAGUGGUGGCUCUGUUUGUCUUUUUCCUAAAGCUGGGGAUUUAGGUUAAAACACAACAUCUGUGUCAGCAAAGUCCUGCCACCAGUCAUGAGAUAGAGCCCCUACACAGAGAUCCUGCUUGAACUUCUGGGAAACCAUAGGUUGUCCUCCUCUCUCUGUGUCUGCUGAUGCUGUAGCACGCAGCCUUUUCUACUGAUCUCAGUUCUGCAGUUUCUCCCCUACUGCCUUCUGCCACUUUCCAUUCUUUCUCUGCUUGUAAGAUUUUUUUUUUAACCCUUAAGGCAUAUGGAUGAAAUCUCUGUGGAUGAGAAUAGGACACCUCUGUUCAAAUAGAGCAGGGCUUUGUUAUAAAGGUUUUAAGACACUCCUGACAUGAGUAGAAAUGCUUAUGGCUUUUGAACCUGGCUAAGGGUUUGAAACUCUGCUCUUCAAAGGCUUGUGAUGCUCUUUAUUUUCAUAUUCGGUCUCAGUACCACUGCCAAGAGGCACUGAAAUUCAGGGGGAAGUUCCCUGUGCUAUUGUCAUUCUCCAGUAUCAGCCUUUAUUGCCUUCCUCUGAAUUUUGCUUACUUGAUGGAGUGCACGAUUAGACCUAUGUGGGGCAUCGUGUGUUUCAUUAUGAAAUCCACAAAGGGGGUGGAAUCAACCAAUAAUAAACACAGCUGAGCAAGAUUUCAAAUGCACAGCACAUGUUUUCUGCUUUACAGAUCUCUGCAGCAUUCUGAGCCUUUGGCAGAUGCACCAGAAACUACCCAAGUUUGUGUACCCCACUGUGAUAUGGGUAGAUAGACUGGGAAGAGAUUUCUAAUGAUACCAGUGCAGUAGUGGGAUUGCUAAUGUGUAUAUCUAAUAUUUAAUUGGAAAAGGGAAAAAUAGUUCUGUAACUAUCUUUUUCAAAAUAUAUGCAUUCUUACUGUUCAGCAGGUAUAUUUGAUGCAAAUCACUCUUGAGAUCAGCAGAUUUUGAGAUGUACCUGGCCCUACUGCAAAUAGCUUACGCACAAUGUGGUUUUAAAAAGCUAUUACUAAACUGCAGAUUAGCGUUGGUACAUCUUGUUUAUUCUGUAUGUGUUUUUUCUGGCAGAGAGAGGAAUUGGACUUGUAUCUAAAACCUCAUUUAUAAAGCAUGGCUAUAUUACUAUUUUUAUUAUUAUACUUAUUAUUUCCUUGUCUGUAGAUGCCAAUAUUCAGGAGCAGUUAAUAACUAUCUGGAAAAAAAAAUCCAAACCAUUGAUAUGUUUCAAACUCCAGACGAGUGUCAUGGAAGUAAAUGCAUGUUUAGUGGAACAAAACAAAAAGAAGCUCUCCCCCUUGCCCCACAACCUCUUUCCCCCCGCCCCCCCAUUCCACCCUCCCCGAGAACUGGGGAUAUUUUCUGUGAAAAUGAAACACUUUCUUAGAGACCUUGUGAGUAUUCUAGUUGACCAGCAUGGAGACAGAUGAACAUUAAGGUACCACUCAUGCUAAAUUUGAUAAAUGCAAGUAGUUCCACUGACCUCUAUAGGACUGUUCCUGUGCUGAGAAUUCUCCAUACAUAUUUUUGGUCAAGCACUCACCAGUUGCCCAUUGGUAGUCUGGAACACCAUAGUAAUUGCUACAGGAGAAACAGAAGGGCAAAGACAGUAUCUACAGCUAAGAAACAGCCCAAGAUAAAUUCCUGAAAAGUCUUUUUCAAAAUACAUGUACAAGAUUGUAGCACCUAGCACUGCUCCCCUCCGCCCAUGUUGAGGGAUUUAUCUGUUGCUUUUCAAGCUUUUUACAGAUGACUCAGUGACAUGCUCUAGAGAUACAUUUCAAAAAUAACAAUAGUUGUGAAUGGAUGCUGCUGUGAUGUGAUGCAGGACACAGUACCACAGCUAUAACUGUUCUCAGUGUGGUGUAGGGCAGCACAGUUUCGGUACAUCAGUGUUGCACUCAGUUGCACACAACUUGCACCUCAGACCUGCAAGCUGGAGGAAGCCUGAGGCUGCUGAGUUCACAACUUGUAGAUUCAGAGCAUGGAAAAAAAUAUUUCAUUAUAUAUAAAGAUAAUGCAAUGCAAUUUUCCAUCUAGGCUUUUCUGCUUAUAAAAGGGAGAGUGCAAAAAAAACCAACCAACCAACCAAACAAAAAAACCCCCAAAUCAUCCCUUGCUGGAAAUAAUUACCUCUAAAUUUGGACACACAAUGAAAAGUCUGACCAAGAAUUUCACUUUAUUUAAACUUAAGUUACUUUUCUUUGUAGUGUUGGUGGUUUAUCUAAAGUGUUUCACCACUCACUGGAUUCCUAUGGCUGAGAAUAAGUUGAUAAAAUUGCAGAUUAGUGAUUGUAUAUGUAUAAAAUGAUGUAUGCACGUGCAUGUUUGUGCGCACGUGCACACACUCAAAACAAGUUUCAUACAGCCAGUUCUUCAAAUAAUUUGCACAUGGAUUUUGUUUCUCACUUUACCAUAGUUAUCAGACUGGUCUGUCAGAUUUGUCAGGCUGCUGUUUACAAAUGAGCACUUUGUUGUGACAUCCAGAUUUAUAGUUGUGAUCCUUUCAUUUUCAAAUGUUGCCCAAAGCCAAACUAAAGAUGAAGAAACUACACAGCUGCUCGUAUUCAAGUGUGUACCUUUCCUAGCCUGUGUUAGAAAGACCAUCAAGUGUCAUAACAACAGCACUCAAACACUUUCACGUUACAAAGCAAGUGUCAUGCCGUUGUGUAUGUUGCUAACAUUACAGUUUUAAAGCCCUUUUGGUAAAUCUCUGCCUCCCUCUUCCCUCUCUUCAUUGAUAACUACUUCUUUGUGAAGGUGUGGAUUUACUGCAUUUCUGUUAGCUUCUUGUGUUACAGCUGACGUGCCUCUGCUGUGUGGCACGGUUUUGACAGUAAUUAAAAGCAAGUCCUGCAUCUGAUUUACUCUCCCCCGAUAGAUUUACACUGAGGAUGCAGUGGGAAGUCAGGAGCAGGAGAGCUUUGAGGAUAGCGAAAGCAGAGCUGUGGGUAUUGGAGACCAAUAGAAAGGAAGCUCAGGGAUAAAAUUUCCCCUAAGUGUCUCUGGCAAACAGAGACACUGACAGAAAUGCAGUUUGUUCUUUACUCAUAACUUGUGGGUUAUGAAUGUUGAAAACAAUGCACAGAAUACUUCUAAUUUUUUUGUGCUUAAAAGCUAUAGAAGGUCAGGAUAAUAAUGAUGCUCACGUGGACUUAUUGGACUGGCUAUCACCAAGAUGCCAACAGGACUCCGUUAAUGACAGGUGACUGGCAAUGAUCCUGCCUUCUGCGGGUACCAAGGACUCGUUCCAGUUCUUGUGCUGUUUGCUGGGAAUCUCAACAAAAAAGGAUUACAGCUGGAACAGGUUAUGAGGCUUUCUACAAUACGGGCCCUUGUCCUGUUGGAGCGGUGUUGAGAGGGCUCGCUUUAGGAAGACAGUGCUUCUACUUUUCCUUCCCUUCAGUUCUUGAAUGUGAGGUCACAGUCUGUCCCUCUGCAUUUAACUCAUGGGAACGAUCAAUGCGGUACUGAAAAUUUUUAUUUCAAUGGUGUUGCCUGUGUGUGUCUUCACAAGAUUGGGGCUUCAACAUUUUGGCUGUCCAUUCUCCAAAAGCGGAAUUUUUAUUUUCGAAGCAAGAUAAAUGAGGAGGGCCACAGAUGCAGACCUGAAUGAUGGUGCUCUUACAUGCAGAGGCAGUUGCAACAAAAAAGAUUGUCAGGAUCAAAGCAACAAAAGGCUAAAUUUAAAUCUGCAUUACCUUAUUCAAAUGGGUUUUGAAACUUUUACCAGCAGCUUUGAAAUGUUUCCAGUGGGCUGUUCAUAAUAAUAACAAACAACAAUUUCUCACUGAAAGUUCAUAUAAAUAAUAAUAAGCCCCUCAAGUCUGAGUCCAGCAUUUUUCCCCCUCUCUUGGCAGCAGCAAACACACUAUCUGCUUUCUUACCAAUAACUGUGCGUCUUCACACCUUUUUGUUGCACGGUUUCUCAUUAAUGAUCUCUUGCAGGCUUCAGUCUUCUAUUCUGAGAAAACAGAGAGCCUUGAAGGUAAUUAUUUUAUUAAAUAUAUGCAAAAAUGUGGUAGGUCAGCUCUGUGGCACACCACCCUCAACAGUCUCUCCUGACACUUCCCUUCGCUUUAAAAGUAGAAGUAUUUGGCAUUGUGGUAAGAGAAUGAGUGAGAGAGUGAAGAGAGGACAUUUUCUGAGGUGAAGUCAGGGCCAUGUGUGCUCAGUAUGGUGGGAGGAUAGAUGCUGAUUCUGGAUGUUUAAGAUUAUAAAAGCCAGCAGCCAAGGCUGAGGUGACUUAACUGUGGCAGACAGGCUAGUUAGAGCUGUUUCCAUGGUACUUUGAAGAAAUUUCUAAAGAAAGUGUAUGGAUAUUGAUUUUUUUUUUCCUUACCUGCGUGCUGCCAGAAAAGAUGUGGAUAUCUUGGCUGAUGGCCUGUAGAUCUCAGAGAGAGUGAGAGCACAUACUAUGAAGAUCAUACCAAAUGCAUGAAGUUUGCAUCUUAAUUUCUUUUUUGAUGUAUCAUACAUCCUGUACUUCUGGAGUCUAUCAGCUGAAAUUACAAUAAUGCAAAAUGUCCCUCUCCUUUGUUUCUUAUGAUGUUUUACGUACAUAAAACAUAUGUGAUGCUGGUGUUGGCCAACAUUGCUUGUGAUUUACUUGUUCCCCAUAAAAAGAGGCAAAAGUAAGAGCCAGUCUCCCCUAAGAAGUCUUUAACUAAGGCAGUCUGAAGUGUCCAGUCAGCAAGUGGUUCCUGCGGGUUCUGCCCACUUGCAUGUGUCUGAUGCUGUCAGGCAGUCCUUACGAGCUCGUAGCAGACAUCCAUCUGUCAGCUGAACCGUGUGUUUGCUGGAUGAAUUCUGAAUCUUCAAGAUCUGCUGAGUGAACCGGGUCAUUAAAACUUGGUGAACUUUUUGCAUCAGGGCUUUGGCUUCUUUUGGACGCUCUUUACAUUUGUGUCUAUUUUAUGACCCUCAAACGGUCUGCUCAGUCAAACUCUGUCCUUGAGCUAGGCUUGAGAAACUUCAGGCAGUGUUUCCAAGUGUUCAUCAUCCCCAGGAAGAGCUAUUUAUUUUUGAUGGUCUCUCUGACAUGCUGUAAAUGCAUGUAGAAAAAGAAAAUGAAGUGGGCAUUUUGAGAUGUUUAGAAGCUUAAGGAAAAACUGCAGAUUUCUUGAAACAGUAUAGAAAAAUAUUUUUCAACAGUGUAUCUCCCAGUAAGAUAGCUGCCAAUGGCAGCUGUUUCCUCAUACCACAAUAGAAAAAAAUCAUGUUCCCUUAAUGCAGGGUGUGAUCUUAAAUGGCUUUGGAGUCGGUCACUCUGAGGCUUCUGUUUAAUUUCAGAACCAGGAUCUCCAGUCUAUGGGUAAUUGCAACUUCCCUGUCAGUUCAGGUGACAUGAGGGAUUCCCCUUACUUCCUGCACAGGAAAAGGAAGAGGGCAGAAUCAGACCAGUUCCUAGUAAAAGGAAAGAAAAUUGUCAAUUAGGUGCCAAGGGACAAGCCAUUCAGAGCACGUCUACCAGCUGUUGUUGGGGAAAUACAAUAGAAAAGUGAAUCAGGACAGGCGAUGACCCUGACUCAGAUUUUAAAUGAAAUUUAGGCGUCAUUUAAAGCUGCAAGGCCCAAAUGACUCAAGGGUCUGUGUUGUUUUGGAACAGAUUUAUACUUCUGAGUGUGAAAUGCAUGUCUGCACCAUGUGAAAGACAGUGGUGAAAAGAAGCUCAUGUUAGUGGAGAUGAUAUUGGAAAUGGAAAAUAUGUAGCUGGAUUAAUAUGGUGCUACAGUUGAUCAUGUAGGACCUGCUAAAGCACUGUACGAAUGCAGCUGCGCUGGUUCUUGGAUUUAACUCUUUAUGGAGCUGUGCUGCGUGGAGGCUCUAGUUUGAGCUGGUGCAACCUCAGAUGUUUGGAGCUGCAAUGUGAUUACCUUACAGUGGUUUUCUAAGAUGCUUCUGGAAAAUAGUGUUCCUUUUCCUCCUUUAUUUAGACCUCAUUGCAAUGCCACUGGAAGCAUUGCUUGUGUAUUUUAUAAUCUGUACCAAAUGAUCUUUUAGUUUGGGGCACUCUACCUCCUAUGUUUUAACAUGUUUUUAACUUGGGGACCAAACUGAGCCAGAUAAAAGUUCUUAGCUAUAUAAUUUGUUAUGUAGUCCUUGUUGCUGGGGUUUUCUAAUAUUGCUCGCUUUUGAAUUUAAUCUUGCUGACAGAAGCUAUUAUAUUACAGGAAUAAAUUACUCUCAAAGGAUGAUAACUGUUAAUGUUUCCACCAUUACCUUCCUAUGGUGGAGGGUAGAAGCUAUGUUUUUGCUCUAAAAUGAGGGAUGUGUGUUUUUUUUCACAUCAGAAUAUUGAUCUUGAGAUAACUAGCCCACUGUAAAAACAGAACAAAACAGAAAAUCACUCCUUUCCUCCCCCUGCCAAAAAAAUCCCCUCCUAUUCCUCCCCCUCCUCCUCCUCAGCAGUGUGAUGACAGUUUGUAAGUCUGACUGUAAUUAUGCAUGCUGAGAUAAAAAUAAACCAUACUUCAUUUCUGUUA